GCAGCGUUAGCUUAGCGGUAGAGCGUCCGCCUCACACGCGGAAGGUCGCUGGUUCGAUCCCAGCACGCUGCA
rnacentral:tRNA from 1 species